UUAAGGAUGUAUGCUAGGUGGGAUUAAGUAGGGUUAUUCCUUUAGGAUGUAUGCUAGGUGGGAUUAAGUAGGGUUAUUCCUUUAGGAUGUGUGCUAGGUGGGAUUAAGCGGGGUUAUUCCUUUAGGAUGUGUGCUAGGUGGGAUUAAGCAAGGUUAUUCCUUUAGGGUGUAUGCUAGGUGGGAUUAAGCAGGGUUAUUCCUUUAGGAUGUAUGCUAGGUGGGAUUAAGCAGGGUUAUUCCUUUAGGAUGUAUGCUAGAUGGGAUUAAGCAGGGUUAUUCCUUUAGGAUGUAUCUAGGUGGGAUUAAGCAGGGUUAUUCCUUUAGGAUGUAUGCUAGGUGGGAUUAAGCAGGGCUAUUCCUUUAGGGUGUAUGCUAGGUGGGAUUAAGUAGGGUUAUUCCUUUAUGCUAGGUGGGAUUAAGUAGGCUUAUUCCUUUAGGAUGUAUGCUAGGUGGGAUUAAGCAGGGUUAUUCCUUUAGGAUGUAUGCUAGGUGGGAUUAAGCAGGGCUAUUCCUUUAGGAUGUAUGCUAGAUGGGAUUAAGCAGGGUUAUUCCUUAAGGAUGUAUGCUAGGUGGGAUUAAGUAGGGUUAUUCCUUUAGGAUGUAUGCUAGGUGGGAUUAAGUAGGGUUAUUCCUUUAGGAUGUGUGCUAGGUGGGAUUAAGCAGGGUUAUUCCUUUAGGAUGUGUGCUAGGUGG